rnacentral:lncRNA from 10 species
UCUGGAUAAAGUGCGAAGGAGCUUAAAUCUGUUGAAACCCAAAAUUUGCCUCCGUUUAAUGGCUUAGUUUCUUCUGUCUAAUGGUAACUGGAAUUUCCCUUUCUAAUUGUGUAUUGAAGAACGAGAACGACUCAUGUUUAAGUGUUAGAUGUAAGUCAUUUCAUAAUUACUCGUGCACUUCAAAAACAACAAAAAUAAAAUCAAAAUCAUAGAUUAUAUGGAAAGCUCAAUUCAAAAUUUGUAAAAUGUAGCAUUUUGUUGCAUUUUAUAGGAAAACAUAGGAUUGUAAUAACAUUAAAUUAUGUAUAUAUUUUUACUCUUCAUUAAAUGAAAUUUAGAGACAUCGUCAAUCAUUAAGUUGCAUUUAGUGAGGUGUUAACAGAAAUUAAUUCAUUGUAAACAUAAUAAUAAAAUGAAUGGAGCAGAAUUACCGAAG